GUGUUUUGUUUUUUUUUUUUUGCCCCGUGCUCCCGGGGAGCUGUGCCAGCAAAGGGAGGAAAAGCACGAAGCGAGCGUCUGCGUGAGCCGGGACUCGCAGGAAAACAGGCUCUGCUUCAACUUUGAACACCCAUGAGGGAUCACCAAAUAGGUAUGUGUUGAUGCUGUACCUGUUCCCUGGCAAGCUGACUGAGGUCAGAAGAUCACCCACAACCCGCUGUCAGGCUACCAAAAUGUGCAGACUGCUUUAUCCUUGUGUCACCGCCAAUGCCCCAGAUGUUCUGAUCUGAUGCAAAGUGGUUUCUCUGGGACACUUUGGAGAGGCCAUAAAAGGGCUGCUAAACAACAUUUACAGCUAACUUAUUGAUGCUGCCGCAAGCUUCUCUCCACUUUGCACCAAGCCACUUACAGUAAUGAUGGCCUUCUGAGCAGGAUCAUCGUGAACAAGCUUUGCCUUCUCAAGGGCUUUUUCAAAGUUCAUGAUUGCAGAGCGGUAAUCCUUUAAUUUUUCUGUAAGGGACAAAUGAAAACAUCUAUUUUAACCCAAGAUAAAGAGAAGAACAAGUGUUAGUCAAGCAAGUCUCCUGUGAGAGAUCUUAAUCAGAACAGUUACUCUGGUUGUUAAAUGACAGAUAUGUAAGAAGCUGAACAGACAGGCUGCCAUCUGUCCUUACAGAAAUAUUGUAGUGACAUCUUUACCUUGUGCUUGUGCCACCAGUACGCUAGCAUGGAGUUGCCACUCAACAUCUCCCUCUUCAUCUGCUGACUGCAGGGACUUCUCUCCGUAAUUUCGGGCUGCUUCAGCUUUAUCAAGCUCAAGGUAACAUCGGCCAAUUUCAUGGAACAGCCAGGUCUUUUCCAGGCUUGAUUUUGCCAUUGGAAUUUUCUCCUCCCAACUUCAAGCAGAGAGUAAGAAAGAAAGCCUAUUGCUGAAUCUCACUAGGUGCAGUUAUAAUUUCAACCAUGGAUUCUAUACACAAAGUGUUCCAGGUACUGUGAUUAAAACUUUCUCAGCCCUCUUUCUAGCAGUAUAAUUAAAACUGAAAAGACAGCAUCUAUUAAAUUCAAAACACAACCUUACGCCUUUUCUGUUACUAAUUUUACAUACGUGUCAAUAGCUUCCUGGAAUUUGCCGAUUCUGGCAUAAACUCUGCCGAUGUUAUCAAGGGCUCUGGAUAUGGCAUCUGGUAGAUCGCUGUGUUGAAAAGAAAGAGAAGUUGCAGUAGCUGAAACAGCCUCGUUCCUGAUACAGUCUGUGCUUUCUUCAACCCCAUAUAUUUUCUUUGGCUCUUAACAUGAAAGUAAGUGUUGAGAAGUAGAAGUAAAGGACCAGUGCCAGGUUGAAAGUCAUCAAAACAAGGUAAAAUUUUAUUUUCAUCUACAGCAUUGCAACACCCUGUAAUAUGGGGAAAAACAGUUUAGUUUUGUCUUCAAUAUUUUGUGCAAAUCUAGCAGCCCUCGUGAGUCUUUUCUUUGCCUCAAUUUCUCUUUGUUGCCAUUUGGAUCCCAUGGAAAUCCCCUACCAGUUCUUAGGCCCCUAACACUAAUAAAUUGUUAUUGUCCAAGAGGAAAUUGAAGACAUGAGUAUCUGCAAUAUGUCUCAUUAACAGAUUCCUGGUUACAGGCCCUGUUCCCAGUGCCUUGAAUGAGAUUUUGCCCAAUGCUAGAGGCAGCUUCUUCUAUCAUAAUGUAGCUUUUUUUUUUUUUUCCCUUUAAUUAAUCCUCAUUCCCAACUUCAGAAGUGGCCUGCUUUGACUACCCGUGCCUUGAAAAAAAAGUGAUGAAACGAGAGAACAAAUGUGUUGCUGUGGGUUACGUGAGUCAUUACCAAUGUCUCCCCUGGCCACUGCUGAACUCCAGCCAGCAGAGGGCGAGUUCCUCUCGGUAAUGACUGUGUUUCUGUCCUUCAAAUACAACCUUCAGUUGGUUUGAAAAAGUAGUAAAAUGACGGAUCUCAUUCCUGCCUAGCUUCUGCUAAGUCUUAACUUCAUGUGGUGUAACUGUGGAGUGGAAAUCACAAGGAGAGAUGCAGAAAUUGUUAAACCUAUAAUUAAAAAUGUGCUUUUUGAAAAGGACAAACAGUGAGGUCUAACAUUUUAGGUCUUAUACAGUAUCGGCAGAAAUAAAAUCAAAAUAACCUCAAUUCAAGCAACUAUUCAGCGUUUUCUCAUGUACUUUGUAAAACUCUAUUACUAAUUCUUAAGACUACAUUUGCUCCAUUCAGUUUUAGCUGAAAGUGCUGCUGCAGAAUGUGUUCUAUAUGAGCAACUGUAUCUUUUAUCAACAUUUCACACCUAUCAUCAUGAUUUGAAUGCAAAUUACUUUAAGGGAAAAUGUAGAAGAAAACUUGUGCAAUUUAGACUCUGACCUUCCUGAGAAGGAAAUGCAAACUAGAGGCUGAAGUGCUGAGGCUGGAACUUGUGUUCUCUUCUGCUUUGCUUCAGCAUGGAUUUAGAUACUUUGUGUGUGCUGGGUCCUUUAAAAAUCUGCUUAAGUCACCUUAUUUUUGAAAUAGUGAAGUCACUAGGGAACACUGCAUGUGGACAGAGUCUGUAUGCAUUGCCCUGUUAAAUCUCCAGGUGAAAGAAUUACAGUGUUACCAGAUGCUAAAACAUCUUAACAGAGAUACUUUCCUCUGUAUGUUGGAUUUUUUCCCCAUCUAUCUAAACUUCUCAGCACUUACUUCUGCCUAGCAAAUUCGAGAUCCAUUUUAUGGCUUUGCAGGGCUGCUUCCAUCUGGCCCAUCUCUAACUGAGCAUUCCCAAUGCAGCUGUGCAGGUUUCCAAUCAGUUCAUUCUUGUUGGGAACUUCAUCAUCUGACCAUCCUUGUAUUGUUUUUAGCACAUGCUCAGCUUUCUUGCAGCUUUCUUCAGGGGAGCCACCAGUCAGUACUAGAGACAAAGAGGAAAGGUUAGUGUUAGGGUAGGGACACAGCAAUAUUGGGGAAGUAGGACUGAGUGCAGUUAUGUACGCUUCAGGCAAAGCUUGGGAAUGGUUAGAGCUCCUAACUCUUCAUGCAUAUCCUAUAUUCCUCCAUUCAAUCUCCACGAAAUCUGCUCUUGGGAGAUGGUACUUCAGCCCCUCCAUCUGGCACUCCUGGAAAUCACUUUCAUCACAGCAAGCAAGGAGAGAGAACUCUGCCAGGACACAUACACAUAUCAAUGUCCUCCAUACUCUUCACAAUGUAUCUGGCAACCUCAGCUGGUUUUCGCUUCUUGUCUCGGAUCCACCUUUGCUGCCUGAGCUUACGCUCCCUCACACGGGCAUAAAUAGGCUUCUGCUGCUGCCAGAACUCAGUGCGUGUGUCCAGGUAGGCAAUGCCACUCAACACCAUGUCUGCUACUUUGAUCCCCUUCUUUGUGCAGCUCUUCAUCAGAUCUGAAAAUAAGAUGGUAGAACGGGGGAAAACAUUAAUGUAUGUGAGGGACGAAGCUGCAGUUCACUGGGGGACUGCUUGUGAACAUUCUUUUGCUCUGACAGAGACAGUCCUGAGAAUUAAAGUCUUUAAUUCUCCUCAGAACUGAUGUGAUUAGGAGAGAAGUUACAGAAAAUUCUCCUGGUGAGCUAAAGCUGUUGUUCCCAGCUCCUGUAAGCUGCUGCCUUCUUUAAUGAAGAGCCAAAGAAGACGCCCAAUUAAUGGGGGCCAGCGGUGGUGCAUGAGCAUUUGUCCUCUUGGACAGGACAGCUAUAUGGGACACUUGUACUCAAAUGGCACUUUAGAAAGUAGUGGAUUAAAUUGUGAGGUGGAAGUUGAGAGGACUUUAACAUGGCU